CCUACGGGAGGCAGCAGUGGGGAAUAUUGCACAAUGGGGGAAACCCUGAUGCAGCAACGCCGCGUGAAGGAAGACGGUUUUCGGAUUGUAAACUUCUGUUUUUAUGGAAGAAUAAUGACGGUAGCGAAGGAGCAAGCCACGACUAACUACGUGCCAGCAGCCGCGGUAAUACGGAGGUGGCAAGCGUUGUCCGGAAUUACUGGGGGUAAAGGGAGCGCAGGUGGGUAGUCAAGUCAGCUGUGAAAAUUAAGGGCUUAACUUGUAGACUGCAGUUGAAACUGGUUGUCUUGAGUGAAGUAGAGGUUGGCGGAAUUCGGAGUGUAGCGGUGAAAUGCGUAGAUAUUCGGAGGAACACCGGUGGCGAAGGCAGCCAACUGGGCUUUAACUGACGCUGAGGCUCGAAAGUGUGGGGAGCAAACAGGAUUAGAUACCCUUGUAGUC
rnacentral:rRNA from 1 species